rnacentral:lncRNA from 1 species
AAAAAAAGAGAUUUGCUCCUGGUCAUACAACACCACCAUGACAAUAUUGUUAUUUAUUUAUUUUUUGCAGGUGACGAUAUUGUUAUUUUAGUAAACAUGUCAUCAUAUCUUAGCUAGUUAAUAUUUGUUUCUAGGUGCAGAUGGUGCACUGGCACCCCCCAUCCUCAACACACUUAGAGGUCCAACUGCACGGAUAACACUGAGUCCGGUUGAAAAAUGCGCCACAUGUUGUCCUACAACUGGGGUCAUCACACCGUGGUGGAUAAGUAGUCCUUCCAAAGCAUGCACCCUCUGUAGACGCAAAAUAGUAUCAUAAAAAAUGAAAUUGCACAUCAAUAUUUGUCAUCUUGGAUGCGUUAUUAAAGCAAGGUUCCACAUGAGAAAAUGAGUACCUGCUGCCAUCACGAGGAGCGCAAGGGUGAGCAAAACCAUGAUUGUGGUCCUCAUCUUUGAUAUCUAGAUGACGCUGCUAAUUGAAAACGCGGUUGGUAGAUGUUUGUGAGUUGUG